GAGGGUAUAGCUCAAGCAGUAGAGCAUAUGCUUAGCAUCCACAAGGUCCUGGGUUCAACCCCCAGUACCACCU
rfam:Camelus ferus unplaced genomic scaffold scaffold476, whole genome shotgun sequence.